rnacentral:ncRNA from 1 species
GCACUGCACGAAAGGAGGGAGGUGGGCACUCCCCCUGACGAGGCUCUGGGCUGCACAGCACGCAUACGGUGAAGGCAUCGCCCCUACUUCGUGGCAUCCGACCAUCGUUUUUA